GGGCUGUCAGAUUUAUAUGUGAUUUACUCAAACAUGUUUUGUUUCUCCUCUCAACCCAAUUUCAUUGCUUGCAAUCAAUGCAACACGAAGCAAAAUCAGAUCUACUAGUUUGAAUCAUGUAGUUGGAGUGUGAACCAAUAAAGCUAAUUAAUGCCGAGUAAUGAGGAACAAUUCAAAUCGCGCAAGAGAAGAACCUUCCAGAAAGAACCCUGGCGCGUUAGUGGUUAAGACAAUACCUAGAAUAUUGGUCAAGGUCCAUGAUGUUUGCCUACUACAUUUGUGCAGCUUUGUCUACCCAUUCAAAGGCUGUAUAGUGUUGGAGAAACAGGAGAGAGCCUCGAGGAUGUGAAGAAAAGGAACAACAGAGAAUACAGUGAAGUUCAAAAUGGAGAAGACGUUUGCAUACAGGAAACAUUAAGUUGUCCAUGACGCACCCUUGGUAGAGGACUUCAUGGCAAGAUGGCCUGCGCUCUUUGAAGUCAUUGAGGGCAUGGAUGAAGAGUCCACCAAGGAGGCCAUUGAGGACACUACUGUGAGGAUCUACAUUAUCAAAGACCAUGCCGCGAGUGAGGAACCAGAGGACACUGGGAUUGUCCUUGAAGGCGUCAAGGUGCUGCAGGAUCUGGGCAACGUAGCGUUUGCUGUUGCAGUGCUGUUCGGCCUCAACAGGCAACGUAGCGUUUGCUGUUGCAGUGCUGUUCGGCCUCAUGUAUGCCAUGAACCUCAGUUAUCCUACUGAGCUCCGCUACACUUUUGAAGUCUUUCAGAAGGUUUUUAUGGAACUGAAUGGGGACAAACUUUCUAACAAAGCUGUUGCAUUUAAAAACAGGCUGUUUCAGUGAGCUGUUUUGUUGUGUGUUGUGUUGCAGACUGUAUGUUGUGUUUCACACUAUGUUUGACUGACGUUGAACUUGUUAGAUUGUUCACAAAAACUCAGAACAGAAUGAGCAUGUCCAAAGAUGGAGCUAUUGUGUUUUCCUUAAUUUUCUUUGCUUCUUAUGGAAAAAGUUCAUUUUCACUUUGUAGUGACUUUUAGUCAAUAUAAUUAACAUGCACAAAUAUGUACACAUACCUACCUCAUUCUUUGUCCUUUACUCCCUAUGAAAAAUAACUACUUCAUUUUGCAAAAAAAUGCAUUAGAGAGGGCCCAAUCAUUGUUAGGACAACUCUUCUUCUUUUUUUUAUACAGAUAUAUAGGCUACAGCAUCUUGAUUUAGACCUGUGGAAUUCAUUGAAGACUGAAUGUCAGUGAAUGGACAUUCGUCGUUCCAAAGAGCUAAACCGUUCCAAAAUAUACAAUAUAAUUCUUGAAACGCAUGCCUUUUGCCUCCUUUGUCACUGAUGAAAAUGGUUUCUUGCUCCUUGGUUACACAUCUUUAGAAAACUUUGUAUUUCCCUAUUAAUUUGUGUAAAUACAAACACUAAGGUAGAAAAUGGCAGCAUUUCAUCUUGAGCUUACAUUAAUAAUUAUGUAGAAUCUUGUCCAUAAUAUAAAUUAUGGACAAAGUUAUACAUAAUUAUGAGUAACAUCGUCAAUAAAAUGUUAAUUAUUAAGUAGU